rnacentral:ncRNA from 1 species
UCCUUCGGGGCUAGGUGAAAUUCCUGACCGGCGGUAAUCAGCAUAUGCUGUCAGCCCGCGAGCCUUUAUAGGCAGGAUCCGGUGUAAUUCCGGAGCCGACAGUACAGUCUGGAUGGGAGAAGGAA